rnacentral:misc_RNA from 1 species
AUUAGAUGCAAAGGAAGCAGCAUCACAUAGUUUCCUCCAGUUAUUUUUACAAACAAGUAAAAGGUCCAAUCUGAAAGCAUUUUUAGUAGAAAUGCCAAAAGUAGAGCAAGAAAAGCACAAAUAGAAGGUUUAUUUAUCUAAUUGCACUAUGUAAUAACAUAAACUCAUACUCUAGGCAGCAGAAACUUUGGCAAUUGCUCCGGCUUCAGCCAGCAGAGGAACCAGUCCCCCUUUACCAUUCAGUGCCACCGUUGCAUCACAGCCACCGAUGUGCUUUCCACCUAUGAAUACAUUGGGCACGGUCCGCUGUCCAGUGAACUGAAAAAGUGCUGCUUGUACCUCACUUCCAUCACUCUCAGUAUCCAAUUCAACAGCCUUAAAACUGGCUCCCAGUUUAGUCAACAAUCUCUUCACCUGAACGCAGUACGGACAAUAAGUCUUGCUGAAGACGGUGACGGGAUUGGAAGCCACUAUCUCUUUAGUCUUCUCCAACGCCAUGAUGGAAUUUCCUCGAUUUGUAGCCCUA